rnacentral:rRNA from 1 species
GACGAACGCUGGCGGCGUGCCUAAUACAUGCAAGUCGAACGAGAGCGACCGGUGCUUGCACUGGUCAGUCUAGUGGCGAACGGGUGAGUAACACGUGGGUAACCUGCCCAUCAGAGGGGGAUAACAUCCGGAAACGGAUGCUAAAACCGCAUAGGUCUUCGAGCCUCAUGGCUUGAAGAGGAAAAGAGGCGCAAGCUUCUGCUGAUGGAUGGACCCGCGGUGCAUUAGCUAGUUGGUGAGGUAACGGCUCACCAAGGCCGUGAUGCAUAGCCGACCUGAGAGGGUGAUCGGCCAAGUUGGGACUGAGACACGGCCCGAACUCCUACGGGAGGCAGCAGUAGGGAAUCUUCCGCAAUGGACGCAAGUCUGACGGAGCAACGCCGCGUGAGUGAAGAAGGUAUUCGGAUCGUAAAACUCUGUUGUUAGAGAGGAACGAGUGCUAGAGUAACUGUUAGCGCCUUGACGGUAACUAACCAGAAAGCCACGGCUAACUACGUG